GUGUCGCGGCGCACGUAGGUCCCCCGACCUGACAGGUGCGCGGCCCGGGCCGGCUGGGCUCUCAGAGCCGAGAGGUGGGGCCCCGACCUGGCCGUGGGGCUGGGCCCGCUCCGUCGCCCCGACCCCGCGUGGUCCGCCAACUCCCUCCUGCGCGCGGAGAGGACGGGCAUUGUUCUCGGGGCCCCGGAGAGCGCGAGAGCGGCCUGAGGUCUGUGUGCCGGAGCUCGGGAAGGCGGACGCGACUCCGCUUGCGCGAAACGAGCGAACGACACAUUAUUAUCUUGGUGUGUGCGGGUUUUUUGAAAGCCGUGGUGGCGCUCCCAGCUCGCCAGUGCGUGCGGGGCAGUUUCUGGGAAGAUACCCUAGAGCUACUCUGGCGGGGCCGGAGUCUGGAGGGAGGAGAUCCCCUCUCCUUGAGCCCCCUCCUGUGGAGCGGCUUCCUGCCGGCCUGCGUGGCCUCUCAGUUAAGACUCCCCCGCUAGACAAAAGCCCCGCCGGCUGCGUCUCUGGGCCACUGGACAGCCCCCUUUUGCAGAGGCCUCGAGCGUGGGGUCACCAAAAUCCCUGACACCUACUGUCCCGCGCCGGGUCGGACAGGAUUACGAGGCCCCACUUUCCAGAUGAGAAAACUGAGGUGGGGAUCUUUUGAGACCUCACUGUGAGCGUGCGCGUCCCGCCCGGUCUGGGAGUGGCGUCCCCGGCCUCGCGAGCGUCGCGCAGUGAAGCGACAGGGCGUGGCGCCUAAUUGUCCCCACGCCACGCGAGGGCUAGAAACCCGCAGUCGGGGCGGACCAUCCCUCCAGGCACCGCCCCCUCCUUGGGACCGCUCCGCGGGGGCGCCAAGGGUUUCCCCAGCACCGCCCCGGCGGCCGCCAGCCAGCCGCGGCCCCGCCCAUGCCCCUCCCCGCGGGUCUGGGCCCGCCCCUGAAGCGGGGAGGUGUCGCAGGGGAGCCCCCCGCUUCCGAGCUGCGGCUGCGCAUCAAGUCCUUCGCCAGCGGCUCUCCCUGAAACGGGGGGUUUCAAGGCGUGAUUUGUAGGGGUGUUUAGUAUCCCCUAAAUCUCUGCCAGCUCCACCAUGGCUAUCCGAAGUAAACAACAGAAGCUAAUUCAAAACUGGGUCCCCUUCCAAAAAAUUACAAAAAUUAGCCGGACUGGGUGGCGCAUGCCUGUAGUUCCAGCUCCUUGCAGGGGACUGAGGCAGGAGGAUCGCUUGAUCCCAGGAGGUUGAGAUUGCAGUGAGCUAUGAUCACACCACUGCACUCCAGCCUGGUCGACAGAAGGAGACCCUGUCUCAAAAAAUAAACAAAAAAUCGGCCAAGCGCGGUGGUUCACCCCUCUAAUCCCAGUACUUUGGGAGGCUGAGGUGGAUGAUCACCUGAGGUCAGGAAUUCGAGACCAGUCUGGCCAACAUGGCGAAACCCCGUCUCUACUAAAAAUACAAAAAUUAGCUAGACGUGGUGGCACGCGCCUGUAGUCCCAGAUGCUCGGGAGGCUGAGGUGGGAGAAUCACUUAAACCCGGGAGGCAGAGAUUGCAGUGAGCCGAGAUCGCGCCACUUCACUGCAGCCUGCGCAAGAGAGCAAAACUCCGUCUCAAAAAAGAAAGUUAGGAGCCGCUUCAGUGUACAGUGGGUGACCCAGAUUGGCUGCUGAGGUCCUGCCCCCUAAGGUCCUAUCUCAAAAGCUGAAGAUUUUGAAAAAUCCCAGGCCAUCUGAGAUGCCAUUCCUGCCUGGUACCCAUGGCCUCGACCACACUAGCCAGGUUCCAUCUCGGGGUUUCAUCAGCUCAGAUGAGGUGGAGUAGGAGGCCUCUCUGGUGUCUCCUCCUCCCACCACUUAGUGUUGCCUGAGUUUCCAUGGCUCCAGGAUACUAGCCCUGAGGGAUGGAUGUUCUCAGAGAAGCUUCUGUCCCCGGGAUGGAUGUUCUCAGAGAAGCUUCUGUCCCCAGCCCUGCCCUGAGCUAUAGGCUCUGAUGGGGUAAGUUAGUCACCUUCCCACAAAACUGCCCACCACUGAGAAUCCAGGAGUCCCUACCUCCCAGCCACGAAGCAACUCUCUUUUUCUGAGGUGGAACAGAAGCCAUCUCCCAGCUGUCUCCCUCUCCACACUUUGCAGCCUGGAGGCCAUCCUGCCUGAGAUUCUACCCUUAGAGCUUCAUUCUUUUGUGACUUUCACACCUUUCAGAAACUUGGAGAAAGAUCUGCCCCCAGGUGAGGUUUGGGUAACUCCUCCACUCCCAUCCCCACCUCAGAGGAGGCUUGCUCCACCUCCACUGCCCCUCAGGCCCAAGCUCCUGUCUGGGUCCUCAGCCUCUGUGGAGUUGAGGUCUGUAGCAUAUCUCAAGGGCACUGGGGAGGUGCCGCUGCCCUGCAUCCUCCCAAACCCCACAGCUCCUCUCACCCCUUUUGGUCUCCCUUUUGCCCCCCACCUCCACUUCCACCAAGCUUAGGGCUCAGUUCACUGCCCGCCAGGCCCAGCUGCUCUGAUGCCCUCCUUGUUCUAUUGUCCUUACUGUCUCCUCUGUCUGCCUCAUCUGACUUUGCCUUCUCUGGAGGCAGUUAAUUCACCUCUGAGCCUUGGCCCCAGGGUCACCUCCCUGGAAAGCCUUCCUGGGGCUGCCCUGGCCUGCCCCCCUGCUCAGGACAAUCUGGCCUGCAUGUGCACUCCAUUCUGUGGACCAUGAGCCCCUCCCGGACCAAGCUGGGCACAGCUCAGCUUCUCACUAAGGGCAGGGGGCUGCCAUGGAAAGCCUGUCACUUCUAACUGGCAAGACAGAGCACCCAGGUAGAGUGGCAUUGUGGGAGCUGUACCCAGUAUGGGAGGUGGGGGCAGCGGCCAGUCCUCAUGGUCUGUCUUAGAGAAGCCUUGUGUGGCAGUGACAUUUUGGAGGGGAGACAAUUUUGGAGGGGGCUGCAGGAGCCUGGGCCUGGAGUAAGGGGAGAGGAGAGUCAAGCUGUCCAGUGGGGAGAAGGCCUGGUGGGCGAUGGUGCCAUCCUGAGUGGAGAAGGCCUGGGAAUGUGAGGAGUGGGGAGGUCAGGGUGGGGGUGGUAGAGGUGCUAGGUGUAACCACUGCUUAGGUGAAGACAACUCCUGUGCCCUUUCAGAGCCAGGGCAGGGUGCCUCGUGCCCAGGGUUGGGAGUUGGGAGGCAGUGGACUUGGGCCCAGACCCUAGAGGUGAGGAGGGUGAUGGUGAGGGGUGUAGGGAUGGCAACACUGGCAGAAUAGCCCCUGUCUACCCUCUGACCUUCCUCACCAAGCUGGUGGGUGAGAGGUCCGUCAGGGCCUCCAUAUUACAGCUGAAGCUAUGGAAGCCAGAGAGGUACCUGAGCAGUGACUUGACUUAAGGGCUCUGACCCCCACAUCAUAGCUAAACUGUGGUGGCCCCCAAAUGCUCCCCUGCCAUUUCCAGACUUCCACACUGGAAGGGGGAACGUGGCUCUGGUGCAGACAGUGUUGGGUGGGGAUUGCAGCUCCUCACGGGACUCCCUGCCGGACUUGGGCACCAAUUUCCCCUCAGGAGUGCCUGCUGCGCCUCCCCAGACCAGCUGCUGUGAGGAUAAUGGGGUUUGUGUUCAGCAAGUGGCCACCCCUGGCAGCACCCACAGCUCAUGGAAACCACUGGGAACUGAGAACUGUUUAGUGGAGUUGAGGCUGGUGUUUAGUGAAGUUCCAAUCACCAGGAGACUUUCGGGCCAGAGGAUCAGGGUUGAAGGGUUUUAGUGCGUGCUCAGCCAAAGGGCCUCAAUUCUGAGUCUGAGAAGAGGCCUCAGAGCCUGGUGCUUUGGGAAGCCAAGACUACCCCAGCUCCAGGAUCUGUCCUGUUCUCAGGUCCCACUGAGGCAGAGCCCAUGGACUUGAUGCCCAGCCCUGCCCGCUGUCUCUGGAACUCCUAUUUCCUCGGGGCAUUGGACCGUGUCUGCCCACCAAGCCCCACUGAAGGGUGCAGGUGAGCAUAGGAAAGUUGGGCAUGGCAGCCCCCUGGGGCCUGGGCUGAAGUCUGGCUCCUCUUUCCCUGGCAUGUGCUCCAACAGGGCCCCCGAGCGGGACUGGAGGCGGGCAGAGAAGGACCUGUGGGAGCAGCUGGCAGAAAGCAGGCUGCAGACACUGCCCUGCCUGGUGGGAGGCAGGGAAGCUAGCCCUACCUAUCUGAGGCUCUGUGCUGCCUUCAGCCCUCCCACUCAGCCUCCUCCUAGCAGGUGGAGUGCUCCCUGGCCUGCCUGGAGCAGGAGAGGCACCAGAUGCAGGGAUCCCAGGGACAGGCUGAGUGGAGGAGGCCAGACCAGAACAUAGAAGACAAGUGAGUGGGGCUGGGCUGUGGGGGAGGGGUGGGGUGGCAGGGAACAGGCAGACCAUCCCUUCUACCCACAGGAUCCUGCUGCUGCAGACAGAAGUGGAAAAGGCCUAGCGGCAUUUGGACCAAAUGACCCAACAGCCUGUUGGCCCAGAGCCCAGCCUGGGGAUCCCCCAAGUGGGUGCAUGGCAGGCCCUGCGCACUGGCCCUGCUGUACCUUUGACUCUGCCCCACACUUUAUUCUCUGGUCCUCAUUAUUGAAGCAUUAUCUAGAGAAGGAAGGCAGCGCAGGGGCUUAGUCCAGCCAAGAGAGGGAUCCUCUUCCAACAUUUGGGAAUACCCUGGGAUCAUUCAGUGACUUCCCUCCUGGUUCAGAUGGGAAAACUGAGACCAGAGAGCAGAGGAGAGCUUGUUCAGAGUCAUAACUUGAGUUGGGGCCAGGACCCUGCCACAACAUGCCCUGAGGCAUCAACGGUCUGCCAAGACCACCCCAGUGUGGUCUGGAAGCUGGAAGGAGACCCCAGGAUUCUGGACCAAGUGUAUCUACAGGAGAUGCUGGUGCCAGGCCUGCAGAUCCAAGAGCAGAGCUGGGAUGGAGGCAGGGCCCAGGAGCUUCGGGACCCAGAGUCUCCAUGCCAGCAGCUGAGACCCCUGCCCAGGCUCAGGACACAGUCCGUCUGCAGGAGCAGUUGCUGAUACUCACUGAGGUGAACAAGAGACUCAGAAGAGCUGGGCCAGAGCCACCAGCAACUAGGGGCCUGCUUGGAGCAGCUGCAGCAUCUGCAGGGAGAGCAGAUGGUGUUGGGGGGCCAUUGCAGGCCCUGGAGGCAGAGCACACCUGGCUACUUCAGGAGAAGGUGGGGCUGCUAGCAGCACUGGGUGUGGCCCCGGGCCAAGAGUCCUGGUAGGUGGCUGCUUGGGCCCAUCCUCAGAGUGUCCAAGCCAGGCUGGGGUGGGGGCUCUGUUCUCACUGUAGGUGAGAUGGCCCUCUCAGCAGGCGGUGGGCCAGUCUCUGUCACCAGCUGGCUGAGGGGGAAUGGCCCAGAGCCCUAAACCCGGAAUCACACGACCAGAGCCAGUCUCCCUUCCCCAGGUAUCAGCGCUCCUGGUUGUCACAUUCUGGCUCUUUUAUGGGGUGGGAAAUCUUUCAGCUUCAAGAAGUCCUGUCUCG
rnacentral:lncRNA from 1 species